rnacentral:rRNA from 1 species
AGCUCCAAUAGCGUAUAUUAAAGUUGUUGCAGUUAAAAAGCUCGUAGUUGAAUUUUGGACUUGGUUGGAUGGUCUUUCCUUAGGGAUUGUACUGUUUGACUGAGUCUUUCCUUCUGGCGAACUAUUGUGCUAUUAAUUUAGUGCGAUAGGGAACCAGGACUUUUACUUUGAAAAAAUUAGAGUGUUUAAAGCAGGCUUACGCUUGAAUACAUUAGCAUGGAAUAAUAAAAUAGGACUUUGGUUUUAUUUUGUUGGUUUUCGAGACUGAAGUAAUGAUUAAUAGGGACAGUUGGGGGCAUUAGUAUUUGAUCGUCAGAGGUGAAAUUCUUGGAUUGAUCAAAGACUAACUUCUGCGAAAGCAUUUGCCAAGGAUGUUUUCA